AGAGUUUGAUUAUGGCUCAGGCCCGAUUGCUGGCGGCGUGCUUACACAUGCAAGUCGAACGGGCCAUUACACGGCGAUGCGAUUUCGGUCAAAUCAAGUGCAAUCUUAGUGGCGGACGGGUGAGUAACGCGUGGGUAACCUGCCUUGCACUGGGGGAUAACACUUAGAAAUAGGUGCUAAUACCGCAUAAGCGCACGGUCCUGCAUGGGACAGUGUGAAAAACUCCGGUGGUGCAAGAUGGACCCGCGUCUGAUUAGCUGGUUGGCGGGGUAAAGGCCCACCAAGGCGACGAUCAGUAGCCGGCCUGAGAGGGUGGACGGCCACAUUGGGACUGAGACACGGCCCAAACUCCUACGGGAGGCAGCAGUGGGGGAUAUUGGACAAUGGGGGGAACCCUGAUCCAGCGACGCCGCGUGAGUGAAGAAGUAUUUCGGUAUGGAAAGCUCUGUCAGCAGGGAAGAAAGCAAUGACGGUACCUGACCAAGAAGCCCCGGCUAACUACGUGCCAGCAGCCGCGGUAAUACGUAGGGGGCAAGCGUUAUCCGGAAUUACUGGGUGUAAAGGGAGCGUACACGGCUGUGCAAGUCUGGAGUGAAAGGCGGCGGCCCAACCCCCGGACUGCUCUGGAAACUGUAUGGCUGGAGUGCAGGAGAGGUAAGCGGAAUUCCUAGUGUAGCGGUGAAAUGCGUAGAUAUUACGAGGAACACCAGUGGCGAAAGCGGCUUACUGGACUGUAACUGACGUU
rnacentral:rRNA from 1 species